rnacentral:rRNA from 1 species
GACGAACGCUGGCGGCGUGCUUAACACAUGCAAGUCGAACGAUGAAGCCGGAGCUUGCUCUGGUGAAUUAGUGGCGAACGGGUGAGUAACACGUGAGUAACCUGCCCUUGACUCUGGGAUAACUGCGGGAAACUGUAGCUAAUACCGGAUACGACCCUCGGAGGCAUCUCCUGGGGGUGGAAAGAAUUUCGGUCAAGGAUGGACUCGCGGCCUAUCAGCUAGUUGGUGAGGUAAAGGCUCACCAAGGCGACGACGGGUAGCCGGCCUGAGAGGGUGACCGGCCACACUGGGACUGGGACACGGCGCAGACUCCUACGGGAGGCAGCAGUGGGGAAUAUUGCACAAUGGGCGCAAGCCUGAUGCAGCAACGCUGCGUGAGGGAUGACGGCCUUCGGGUUGUAAACCACUUUUAGCAGGGAAGAAGCGAAAGUGACGGUACCUGCAGAAAAAGCACCGGCUAACUACGUGCCAGCCGCCGCAGUAA